GCCUCUAGAAUAUCCCAUUCGUGGCCCGAAUACAUGACCAAUCUCUGGCAGAAGAGAACUAACUACAUGUAGUUGGCAGAUUCUGCCUCCAAGCAUCCUCGCCCUGGUAUUCUCAACGGAUGUCUUUACCCAUUGAAUUCAGCUUGAUAAUAACAACCGGAAAUGUUCACAAGUGUAGUACAUAAGUGAAAUCCACAAUAGACUAGUGAGCAACCAGUUUGUUGCGACAGAUUCGGAUUAAUUGGCUUUCGCUCCUUUGCCAACAAUCCUUGCUCACUCAUCGGUAAUGUUCUAAGCCCUCUCCCACUGUCCAUUCCUCUUCACCCAGAGACCAUUGGCGAUACAAUCAGGGCAUGGGUCCCUCUUAGUUGUCUUCCCCAUUUGCUGUGUUCGCUUAAUGAUGCCACAGUUGUUGCAGCCCUCGAAUUCAAUGACACUGCCGGGGGAAUCGAUUCUACACCCGCAUCUGUGCUCGAUCGUUUCAAUGAGUCGUUGACACAUAUUUCUCCUAAGAUUACCCAUGUUAGCUACGGUUAUUAUAUCAAGCAGCGAUACUCACGGGAUGCCAAGAUAUAGUAUCCAAUGUAGAACAAGUUAUGGUAAAUCGGGUGGUCGUAGCGUCUUUCUUUUUCCGGUGCUGGUUCUGUGCUGACCUCGCUCACAGACCUCGAUAAAAUCUCGAACCUUGCCAACAUCAUGUGUGAACAGCGAGCUGCUUGGACAAGGAUUGCUGCGGGAUGGGCACGCCAUAGUUGUUGCGGAUUCUGCCGUCCGACCAUGUAGCGCCUAAGCGGGGCUAAGGGUUGGGUCAGAGCUACUCUCAAGUCGACGAAACUAUGGACCCCGCUCGUUUGGGUUGCAUUAUUGAACUGGCACGUCGACGUACGGAUGAGGCUGACACGAGAAAUAGCCAAUGACCGCUACGGCUGGAUGGAGGCAAGCUAAUAUUGCGGGUUAUGUUUCUGGACUUUGACACUGCAGGUGGGUAAAUAUACAUGUAUCAAGAAAUUGUGGAUAUGAGGCCUGCGCGUGUCGAGGAACUAGGCCCGCAAAUGAUCAAUCAACCCCACAAAGUUAAGAUUGCUCGGCAAGAAGCGAUCGGACAACCAGUAACAUUCGGUAGUCCUGAAAAUAUACCUCCAGCGGGGAACCAUGUCAUUUGAAGCUAUUCUGCGGGACAUCUAAGAAGGCAGCUGCGGCAUAUAUACGCUAGUCCAUAAUAGGU
rnacentral:sRNA from 2 species